rnacentral:rRNA from 1 species
GUAGGGAAUCUUCCACAAUGGGCGAAAGCCUGAUGGAGCAACGCCGCGUGUGUGAUGAAGGGUUUCGGCUCGUAAACACUGUUGUAAGAGAAGAAUGACAUUGAGAGUAACUGUUCAAUGUGUGACGGUAUCUUACCAGAAAGGAACGGCUAAAUACGCGCCAG